rnacentral:lncRNA from 1 species
CCGAGCCAGGCGGGCAGCCCAUCGAACGCUCACUCUUUCCUUUCCAGGAACAGAGCCUCGUGUGGGCUGCUGGGUCUGGACUGGGGAUGCUUCUGCUGGAAAGAGGGCCAGGGAGGAGGGCCAGACACGGACCUGACAGGUCAACACGCGCACGUCCAGGACAAAGGGGGUUUUGGAACAAGUAACAUCCGGCGAACAGGUGUUCCCAAGGAAGGUGCCUGGAAUCACCCCCUCCCUCAGUGAGCCACGGCUGCCACGUGGGGCCGUCCAGAGAGGUCAGGGCGCCGCUGAGCACGUGGGGCGGGAGCUGGAGGCGGUGGCGGAUGGCACUGGCCCCGCUCAGCGCUCCCGGCAAACGCCGGGCUGUGGGGACCAGGGCCAGGCUGGGCGGACGGCACACACGGAAGACGGACCCGGGGGGCCGCAGUGCGGACGGCCGAGCCCCCCUGGGCUGUGCAAACGUGCGGCAAACCUACGGGUGGAGUCGGGAAAGCGGUCUACUGCGCCCAGAGGCCACAGGGAAGUUUCCAGAUGGACAUCCUAUAAAGAGCAUUGGGAUGGGCAGGGCCGCCUCGGGUUAGAGCCCAGAUGUCUGUGAGCACCGCCUUCCCCCGUGGCAAACCUCUCACGGCCACGUUGGAGGCAGAGUCCCAGGCAGGUCCCCGUAGCUCUGACACACGGACGCGCACCUCCCCGUGGGGGGGGGGGGCGGCGCUGGGACCUCUCCCUCCCUCUCACCCGGCCCUUGGGGGACAUCUGGGGUGCUGGCCAGGACACACGGCCAGACAGGCGCUUGGGGGCCGGGGUCCCCCAGGGGCGGGGCCUCUCGGUGCUUGUUCACAUCUGUAGAGGCCAAGGUUGAGGCCCAGCUGGGAAACGGCUCAGAGCAGCCGCCUAGAGUCUGGUCAAGGACAACACCUUUGUCCCCUGGCCCCCAGUAUUCACAGUCCCCCAGCAACGCCCACCAGCAGAGGCCGUGUUGUCAGGAUCCCGGUCAGCCGAACGCAGGACCCACAGCCCCCAAGCCACAGGCCCGGCCACAGCCUCUCGAUAACUUGCUCCCCGAGGUCGACCUGCAACCACUGAAUUCAGUUUUACCCAAGUCCCCAGAGGCACGUAUGCGGCCUCCUCGUCGUCCACGUUGCCAGCCCCAGGCCCGUCACAGGCCCCGGAAGGUAACGCGAAGGGUCUGGCGAACGAGGGUGGGUGGUCUCGCACGCGGCACCGGUCCCCCCGGAGGGCUGGUGGGGGCCACCUGAAAGCCCUUGGGCUGAGGGCCGGCUGACAGGUGCAGCCAAGCUGGGCCCAGAAGAGAAAGACGACAGACACGGACCCUUGUGUGGGAGGGUCCCUCGGGGCACGUGGGGAUGAAGGACGGGAAGGAGUUCAGGGCUCAGGCCCCUGGGACUGACAGCAGAUUCGCAGGCGACAGCACGGACGCCCCGACAGCGGGCCGUGCGUGCUCCAAGUCCUGCUCUGCCUGACGCUGGGGUUUAACCGGGGCACUGCGAGGCCUCGGGCAGGGAGGCCACGGCGAGGGGCCCCUCUGCGCCCGGCCGGGGACACGCGCGCGACUGGAGCUGCCCUGGGCACACUUGGCUCCAGCCUCGGGGAGGAAACCGAGCUCGGUGUCCGGCGAGCAGACCCACGGCCGGCGGCACGGGCCUGGGGACGCUCCCCGCUCCCUUCUGUCCUCAGACAAGAGGCUCCAGGUCCUUCUGGGUGGCCCCCGCCCCCGGCAGCCAGGCUCGUGGCACUUGGUCAUCGAUCCAAGUCAGCGAGGUGGCAGGUCCAAUCAGCACUACCAUCUAGAGGGACCCUGGGGGGGCCCCGGACCACCGGCUCCUGGCUGCACGGCUCAGACCCCGCCCCCCCCACCCUGGCCCAAAAUGAGGCCGGGGGCUGCUGGGUGCGCCAGGGCGUGAACCCAGGACACUUCUGGCGGCAUAGCCUUCCCUGACACAGGCCACCGCCGGUCUGUCUCUCACGACUGCCCCCAGAGGGCCCGAACUCAGGGGCGCCCGCCUUCCGGCAGGAGGAGGAGGGGGGCGGGCCAGCAGGUUCCCCGGGCUCCAGAGCAGGGCCAGGCUGGGCGGGGCCUGCCCGUGACUCCUCCCAACCCCGGUCACUGGGGGUUGGCAGGGGGUCAGGGGCCACCUGAGCCGUGGGGAGGCGGAGGGGUCUGGCUCCCCCUCUCUCUCCCACAGCCCCACGAGGGGGCUGUGGCGCUCCACUCUCCUCCCGGGGGCGCCCUGAGACCCAGAGUCCGCACUGGCUUCUCCGGGGCCUCCUGCGCGACCUGGUGCUGCGACCCAGGCCCAGGCUGCUGGAGCCUUCUCCACGCACAGCGCCCCUUCCGCUCGGGCGUCCGGGACGGACUCCUGGCUGCGGCCGGCCUCCUACCGUCCAGCGACGCGGAGCGGUGGCAACGGGGCACGUGGAGAGGGAAACGAGCCGACGAGCCAGGGAAGAGACGAACGGCCAUCUGAAGGGACAGGAGAGGGGACAGGAGAGGGACCACGAGACGGCGGAACGGGACACAGCUGACACUG